UGGUAGCCCUUUAAGGAUGGAAUUAGAAAUU
rnacentral:piRNA from 1 species